rnacentral:tRNA from 2 species
GCGGGAUUAGUAUAGUGGCAGUACGUUUGCUUCCCAAGCAAAAAGUGCCAGUUCGAUUCUGGUAUCCCGCUCUA